UACGUAGGGUGCAAGCGUUGUCCGGAAUUAUUGGGCGUAAAGGGCGCGUAGGCGGUCAGCACAAGUCAGUUGUGAAAUCUCCGGGCUUAACUCGGAAAGGUCAACUGAUACUGUGCGACUAGAGUGCAGAAGGGGCAACUGGAAUUCUCGGUGUAGCGGUGAAAUGCGUAGAUAUCUGGAGGAAUACCGGUGGCGAAGGCGGCAUCCUGGACCGACAUUGACGCUGAGGAGCGAAAGCUAGGGGAGCAAACGGG
rnacentral:rRNA from 1 species